UACGUAGGCAGCAAGCGUUGUUCGGAGUUACUGGGCGUAAAGGGUGUGUAGGCGGUUGGAUAAGUGUGGUGUGAAAUCUCCCGGCUCAACUGGGAGGGUGCGCUACAAACUGUCUGACUAGAGUGUGGGAUGGGAAAGUGGAAUUCCUGGUGUAGCGGUGAAAUGCGUAGAUAUCAGGAGGAACACCGGUGGUGUAGACGGCUUUCUGGACCAUAACUGACGCUGAGGAGCGAAAGCAUGGGGAGCGAACAGG
rnacentral:rRNA from 1 species